rnacentral:misc_RNA from 1 species
GAUGAAGAACGCAGCGAAAUGCGAUACGUAAUGUGAAUUGCAGAAUUCAGUGAAUCAUCGAAUCUUUGAACGCAUAUUGCGCUCUCUGGUAUUCCGGAGAGCAUGCUUGUUUGAGUAUCAGUAAACACCACAACUCCCUUUUCUUUUUUGAAAUUGGAGCUGGACUUGAGUGAUCCCAACGCUUUCUUCCAAGAAAGUGGCGGGUUGCUUGAAAUGCAGGUGCAGCUGAACUUUUCUCUGAGCUAUAAGCAUAUCUAUUUAGUCUGCCUAAAAAACAGAUUAUUACCUUUGCUGCAGCUAACAUAAAGGAGACUAGUUCUUGUGCUGACUGAUGCAGGAUUCACAGAGACAGCUUCGGCUGACUUUGUAAACUCGAUCUCAAAUCAAGUAAGACUACCCGCUGAACUUAAGCAUAUCAAUAAGCGGAGGA